UUGUCUCUAAAAUUUUCUUCUCCCCUUUUCCCCUUCGUUUAACUCUCGAAACUUCAUUGCUUCGUUGUUUCCUUGGUUUUGUGGCUACUUUGAUAAUGUUCGGUGGCCCAUGAUGCAUUUUUACAGCCCAGUUUCACUUUUGCUUAGCACCUCAUUGUUAGAAAAAGCAUCUUAGACGACUAAUCUUCUUCUUUAGUUUAGAUAUAGGUUUACUCCAUUAAAGCGCCUCACAACCUCAUACAUUUCCCUUUCUAAUUUUCAUUUUCAGAUUAAAUACAUUAAACUGUUCAUUUUCCUACCAGAGCUUCUCUCAACCAGAGCAGGUUUCAUCCAAUCAUGGAGAAUGUCUUCCUCUGCUGCGACGCUUUCCAACUUAGCCAGACUUCUUAUUUCAUCGUCUCUAGCCUCUUGCGCUUUGGGGAUUCCCAUAACGUCAAUAAAAACGGUGAAUUUAUGGGAAUCAACCUCAUCUUCCUUGAUGAAAAGAAUUUUGUGAUCCACGGCUCAUCCCAGCUGCUCGCGCAAGUCAGUUAUGUGCUGAAUUGAUCGUUAAAUUUGAUCGGUUUGAAGUUGCCCGAUGCACGAUUACGCAUCAUCCUUUUGUUAUCCCCAAAAAACUGUUGAUGAAGUCGUGACAACUCCUCCUACGAAUCAACCUUCAAAAAUUCAUGCUUUGCAAUUUUGACCAUGUCCAAGCUCUUUCAAACACAAAUUUGGAACUCUCCGGUAAAGCAUUCUAAAACAUUUUCUUUUCCAUGUUACUAUUCGACGACUAGACUAAGAGAGAGGCACCAACUCUUGGCAACGAUAGUGCGUUGUUUGUGGUCUUGGACAGGUAGAUAACUAAGCUAACAAAGAAAAACAUACCAACUCUGGCUUUUGAGCAGCUGAAUAUAGCUAAAAUCUAGAGAUGAUUCGGUACAACAAAUGAUCAUAACUUCUGCCAUACGAUUAGAUUUGUGAGUCACCACUCACCAAAGGCAUUACUUGGGACUUGGGAGUGAGAGUGAGUCAUCACUCACCAGCGUUGUAAUAAUCAACGCUAUUAGGCAACCAUUUCACAGCUGUGAGAGUCAGCUAAACACUGCUCAGUUAUAGAACUCAAAUGUUCAAUCGUGACAGCUCAGUAGCUAACUGAACAUUUCUGAUUAUUUUGAUAUUUGUUACUUUCAGCUUUUAUUACUUUCUGUUUAAAUACAUGUCCUCUAAUUACUUUCUAAGACUUCUCGACUUCGGUUGUGCCGUAAGAUCUCAGUUGUGAAGUUGCUAAAGUCGGUUUUAUCUUCUCCUCCUAGAAAGAAGCUAACCUGUUGACAACACAAGCUUUGACCUGGAACAUGUUAAAAAGCGUACAUGCUACUGCUUUAUCUGGGAAUGAAGUUAACUUCUGAAAUGUUUACAACGAGAAUGAUCCUGCUAACAAACAUUUUCUCCACAUAGCUGAAGGUGAAACUAUACGACCUUAAUUGCUUUUACAACGUGUUUGAACUUAAUACCCUUAUACACUUCAGUUAAGGUGCCUUAUAUUUGUCUCAUUUUUUAAUUGAAACUUAAAUGGAUAGCCUAAUUUCUCUGGGUGAGCAGUUCGUAAGGUGAGAUACAUGGGAGAUCUUGUGGAAGUGUAUGGAAUGAGUUUUCGUUAUUUACGGUGGAAUAAUCUCGGUGGAUUGAUUAUGCACUGAUGUUCAAUCAUCUAACAGUAAGUCCCUCCGAGUAAAUGAAGACCAUUGAAUUUUUUUUUUUUUUACUUUUUGUGUUUUAAUUCUUUUUUUUUAAUUGUAUCUUAAUCUUACAAACAUGUUUUAUGAAAGACUAGAUACAAUCCAAUAGCUACGAAAUAUUUAGGUUCUC